GCGUGGCCCCGCCUCCCGACAGGCCUGUGUGGCCGGUGGCGGGCGGGCCGUUACCUCCCGCGCAUGCUCUAUGGGGUAGAGACGCUAGGCCGGCACUGCCUAGGUGGGCCGGGCGGUGCGAGGGUCGCCUUUCAGCCUUUACCUCUACCCACUGAAAUGGAGUAGGUCGGUGAGCGCCGAUCUGCUGGAGAAUCUCAUUAUCCCAUCGGCGCUCUGCCUGCUCCUGGCCUCCAAGCCUCUGAAGCCCCUCGGGUUUCAGCUGCCGGCUACCCUCGAGCCCGUGGUGCCCACGAGAGAGGCGACUUUACGUCAGCGGCCCUGGGCUGAGAUUUGAGAACGCGACCAAGUGGAGAAUGUUGGAGCCAGAUUUUAAAAUCCUUGUCUUCCUUCUGCGUGCUACUUGAUCUAAAUGAGAUACGGCAAAGUCACAGAACCUGUUUUUAUGUUUUUGCCUGAUUCAUACGGGCUUCUCCGGUGAAGAUGGGCCUGAAGUAACGCUUGGGUUGCUUCUGACGUUAUAACUCAUCCUGUAGCUGCAGCAACCGUGGUCCUUGCAACCUCAUAAAAAUGUUGCCAGCAUUGUUUCGAUAGUGCUGCUUAAUUCUUGGAAGGCCUCUUUGCUUUCUUCCCUGAGGUUCUUCGGACUUCACACAUUCCAGCAGUAGCUCUCUCAGCUCCUGUCCUGCACAGCUUUGAAGUGCUGCGUCUUCAAAGUGUCUUCUGUAAAGACUUCUUCAGACUGUCAAUAGGAAGACUGAUAAACUCAGGUGUCUUUGUGAAGCUUCCUAUCUUUGCUUUUCAACUAAGAUGAAACAGCAUUUAAAAGAAAAUGCCAUGUGAGAUGAGAUCAGGAGAAUGGAUUCUUUCUUUCAUCUGAAUAGAGAGCUGCUGUUCGAGAUUCUAACUCAAAUAGCUCAAAGGACACCUUCUCCGGGAAACCUUCCCUGACUUCCGACGCUGUUUCCUGUUGGAUGUGGUCUUGGAAAAAUUGCUACUUUUUGAAGUCUUGAAGUCUCAAUUUCUUUACCUGCCCCCCCGCCCCAAAAGUCAUUGAAAUCUGUUGUGAAGAUGACAGGAAAUAAAGGGUAACCAGAACAUGAGUUCCACAGUAACUGGAACAUGAGAGGUAGAGCCAGAAGAAAUUGGAACUCUGAGUCUCAGAGGCUAUCUACAUUCAACUGGUAGAAGACGUGAGAAGAUGAAAAGAAUUAGAGACAGAGGAGGGUGACUUAGUCAUAUAAAUGGUGACGCAUUGAAAACAAAUAGCAACAAAGUAUGUUUGUGGGGUUUAAACAAAAGAGCCUAAUUCAAACAACAUACCUUACUAUCUCACAGUUUUUGUGGGUCAAGAGCCUGGCACUGUUUGUAUAGUUCUCUCUGCCUCAGAGGCUCAUGUGAGAAUCGCAAUCAAGGUGUCCAAUGGAGUUGCAGCCUCAUCUCAAUGUUUGACUGGGGAAGGAUUUACUUCCAAGAUCACACCCUUCUUGGCAUAGUUCUCUUUCUUGCAGGCUGUUAGAUCAAGGUCCCUAGCUUCUUGUUGCCUAUUAGCUAGAGGUCAACCUCAUUUUAGCCUCAGUUGUUAGUCUCAGUUUCUUCUCACAUGGGCCUUUCCAACAGGGCUGCUUUCUUCAUCAAAAUCACAAAGCGAAAGUGACUGGAUGAUACAAUCUUAUAAUCCUAUUCUAUUGGUGAGAAGCAAGUCACAGGAUCCACCAGCAUUCAAGUGGAGAGAAUUACGUAAGGGUUUGAUUAUCAGGGGGCAAGGAUAAUUGAAGGCCGUCUUUUACUAUGUCCCCCACAAACACAGUUACCCAUCUGAUCUAAUUGACAUCAGAAUACUGCAUCCAAUGACAACAGAGCACACAUGGAACAUUUAGCAAAAUUGACCACAUGCUGGAUCAUAAAGCAAAGCUCGACACAUUUCAAAGAUUUUAAGACAUUCAAAAUAUAUUCUUUGACCACAGUGAAAUUAAGUUAGAAAUCAGUAAGAAGAAAACUAAAAAAUCCCCCCAACAGCUUGGAGAUUAAACAAAGCACUUUUAAGUAAUGCAUAAUUUUUUAAAAAAAAAAAGAAUAGACAUUAGAAAAACUUUGAUUAAAUGUCAGAAAAAAAUAUAAAGUAUCAAACCUUUAGGAAUGCAGCUAUCUGCUUAGAAGAAAAUUUAUAGCCUUAAAUUUCUAUCUUAAAAAAAGAAGAAUGGAUAAAAAUCAGUUAUCCAAUUUCCCCUUUCAAGCAGGAAGAGAAAGAACACAUAUCAAACUUUCAGUUGGCAGACAAUAAAAUAAUGAAAUUUAAAAUAAAUGUUAAAUAGAGACAGUCCAAAAAAGUUAUCACCCUCAUUAGUCAUCAGAAGAAUACAACACACAUACACACACACAAUAAGGGACCACUAUAUAGAGGAGCUAACAUUAAAAUGAUAGCUACACUGUUGAUGAUGAGAGUUUAAAAUUUUACAAUCACAAUUUAUCAUUUGUUCAUAGUACUUACUAACGUUGAGCACAACCGUACCCUUUGACCCAGCAGUUCCACUCUGAAAUAUGUAGUCAGCAGAAAUUUAUGCAUAUAGUCUCUAAAAGAUGCAGGCAUGUUCUAGCAGCAUUCUUAAAGUAGUUAAAAAUAGCAAAAGCCUAAAUGGCUUUUAAGAGUUGAUGAGUUAAUAAAUUAUAAUAUAUUAACACAUACAGUAUUGAGGAUAAAGUAAUUAUAUAUAAUGUAAUAUAAAAUAACAGGGAUGAAUCUUUUUUUUUUUUUGAGACGGAGUCUCACUCUGUCACCCAGGCUGGAGUGCAGUGGUGCGAUCUCGGCUCACUGCAAGCUCUGCCUCCCGGGUUCACGCCAUUCUCCUGCCUCAGCCUCCCGGGUAGCUGGGACUACAGGCGCCUGCCAACACGCCCGGCUAAUUUUUUGUAUUUUUGGUAGAGACGGGGUUUCACCAUGUUGGCCAGGAUGGUCUCAAUCUCCUGACCUUGUGAUCCGCUCGCCUCGGCCUCCCAAAGUGCUGGGAUUACAGGCAUGAGCCACCGCACCCAGCUGGAUGAAUCUUAUAAAUAGAAUUUGGGCAAAAGAAGCCAAACACACAAAAAAUACAGAUUCUUUAUAUAACUUUUUGAAAUCAUAUAAUUUUAUAUAUAAUAAACAUAAUAAAUAUUAUAAACAAACAUGUAAAUAUUAAACCCAGGUGUAACUGAUGUAUGUUGGUGGCUUUACCUUUGGGGAGGAACUGAUAGUAACUGGAAGUGUCAUUUGGGGAAGUAUCUAUGGAGCACUAUUUCUUACUCUGAAUGGUAUUUACAAAGGUUAACUUUACUCACUUAAUGAAAAUUCAUUGAUCUGUAUACAUGUAAUGUUUCAAAUUCCUUAUGUUUAUGUAAAAUUUUAAUUAAAAU
ensembl:lncRNA HULC hepatocellular carcinoma up-regulated long non-coding RNA